UAAAUACCUGCAUGCAAUACUGUAAAAGAGACAGACAAAAAAAGGUGGUUGUGAUUAUAGUGGAAAGACUCUGAAAUUUAAUUCAAUCUUGCUACUUUGCCGUUCUAAGCUUGCAUAAAAUCGAGAAACUUCAGAAACUAGUUUCCUUGAGUAUCUCCAUUGAAGGAGUUUUGGACCCUGAAAUUCUUCAUUUUCAAUCUGUUCAUUACUCUGUGAAACCAUUUUUUUGUUCAGUUUCGUCUUCAUCACCCUAACAUCAGCAUAUUAUUGCCCAAGCUCAAUCUCAUUCCGACCUGGUUACCGUCGCUUGGGCUCAACUACCUUCUGACCUGGUUCUCGUUAUUUCGAAGUAAGCAUUAGUCCCUGGACCAUCAGCUUUCAACUCUACAAUAUUUGUGGUCCCAGAGUUAGUUCAAUAGCCUCAACCUCUCACAGGUAAGUAUCUAGACUGUCACUUUACCGAAUGCUCGUGUUUUAUUUUCUCUGCUUUUAUGCUCGAAAUUUCCAUUAAGUUCAGUUGCACUAAAAAUCCCAACGUAGAUUAUUCAGGCCGAUAGUUAUUUCUUGAGCUUACUUCUUCUAUUCAUUCGUAAACUGUAUUUAUUUCUUCUUAGUUUUCAUUUCCUUUGAAAAUAGGUGUUCUGGUUGUGGGCAACUUGUAGGUAACUUAAAAAAUAUUGGUAGAAGUAUCUUAACAUGAAAGUUUUCGAACAAAUAAAAAUAACAAAAGGUUGAAUAGUAGAUCAGAGGAAAAAGUUAUGAGGUCGGGCUACUAAACGAG
rnacentral:misc_RNA from 1 species